UCGUGUGUCGUGUGUCGUGUCGAGCGCGCGAAUCGGUUAGUGAUCCGGUUAGUGGUGGUUCAGUCGUUUCGCGAUACGUUACUGGCGGUCCGCGCGAAGGAACGAGAGAAAGCCUCGUCGGGUGUUGGGGCUGUUGUCGGCUGUCGGGUCGGGUGUGUGCGAGGGCAGUGAUCUCUCGUCGGAGAGCGGCGACCUGACGACAGUACGAACCGGCUAACGAGUGCCCGAUAGAUGUAGGAUAUAUGUACAUAUAUGCGUCCACGUCGCUUUUUUCCCCGCCUGCUCCAAACACGCACGAUGACUCCAACCCGUCAAUGUGGAUGUGGAUGCGGAUGCGGAUGCGGAUGCGGACCAAUUCCCUGUCAUCGAGAUGCGUAUCGCGCUCUCGUCGCAGUCUCUCGUCCCAGUCAACGGAACGAUCGCGAAUGGCGAGCGAGGUAAUGCCGAUUUGCCGUAAAACUCCAACCAUCAUCGGGCGACUUGGAGCGUUUUGGAAUCGGGCCUCUCUCUGGAUUCUUGGAUCAUCCACGCGGAUAUAUCUGGGAAACGAUAACUAUCGACUAUACUUGAUGACACUAACCCGUAGAUCCGAACUUGUGGGCUUUUUUAUAUGCAUACCGCAAGCUCCUAUCUACCGGUACAUGUAGUCAGGCCGGCGUUAAAACUUUUCGACGGAUCCUCCUCUUUCCUUCUUCUCCAACAUCAUCACUAUCACCAUUACCACCAUCGUCACCAUCCUUUUAUUCUCCAGAAUGCUCCCAGCGCUUCCGGUUAUCAGCGACAGACAUUUUGACUUUGAGUAAUUUUUUAUCUCGCACGUGAAAAGAGUACCAUCUGUCGAUUAUUAAAGCAUGAUUUUGUGUGUAUGUGUGUGUGUAUGUGACACAUGUCUCGUUAAAAUUUAUAUGUAUAUAUACAAAAUAUAUUUUGAAUACGCGGACUGUUCUAAAACAAAAAUCCAAAUGUUGGCGAUUGUACACCGAAAUAACCUUGUGCGUAAUAUUAUAAAAAAAAAUGAUAUAUCCUUAAAUAUCUUUUCGAUAUGUAAGAUAAAUUAUACCUUUCCAAGAUUUGGAGAUGCGCGAAAAAGGCUCUACUGUUAUGAUAGGCAUAAGACUUUAAUUUGUUAUUAUAUCUAGUUAUAAUUAAUAUAUUCAACGACAUAGUAUUGACAAAUGUCUAUGUAUUGCGUUAAUUAUUGCAUUAGCAAUGGAUGCGGAUCGAUAUGCAAAUCAAAUUGAUUGUAUAGAUACAAAGAAUCUCUAGUGAGAAAAAUAAACAAAGGAAAAUAUAAAGCCAAACGACUGAUCGAAAAAUCUAUCGAAAAUUAAGAAAAGGAAGAAACGUCGAUGGACGUCGAGGAAGAGGAAGCCCGCGACGAUGUCUGGGUGAGGUAGUAGGUUGUAUAGUAGGGAAUGGAAAUUCGCGAAAUACGAAGUCCACUGUACAACUUGCUAACUUUCCCGGUCAUCGGCGCUGCGACGCUACGCGACUCUUGAAGAAUCGCAAAGUUUAUCGCGGAAAGAAAUAAAACUCGAAAGAAAUUUUAUUUUUAUACAAAUGUGUAUAAAUUGGCAAGUUCUUAAAUUUAAAAAAUUUAAGUUUUAAAAAUUGGCAAGUAUAAAUUGGCGAUUCAAUGUUAAAAUGCGUAUAAGUGUCUCUUGACACGAAUGCGUGCACAUGUGCGUGUACGAAUGUGCGUGUACGAAUAUGAGAGAAUGAGUUAAAAUACCACGCAAUCUAUAGUCUCUUGCGAAUAAGGUUUAAACCAAUAUAAUUCGUAUAAAAAGUCCCUUCAUCGGAAUAUGAACUUGCGCGCUCUUUCUCUCUCUCUCUCUCUCUCUCUUUCUAGAGCAUUCGUGCUAUAUAAUAGCAUGAGAACAGAUAUACAUAAGAAAAGAGAUUAUUUCAUCAUUAGCUCUUCCGUUUCUCAUUCUUCAAGCGUAAAUUUUGCACAUGCAGUUAGAUUUCGUACAGAUUAAUUAGAAGAUAUCGAUAAAUUUUACAAAACUAGAGAGUUAGGUUUCUUCACAUAUAAGAAAAAAGCUCGAUUGAUUUAAAAUAUGACAGAACAUUUCUCUUUUUCAACUUAUUAUCGUUAAAAUUUUUUCAAUUAAUUUUUAUUUUUAUUUUUAUUUUUUUUUUUUUAGGAUAAUCUAUAGCACAAACUAGCCAAGAAAGACAAUCAUAAAUUUGCAUAAAAGAGAAAAGACGGAACGAUCGCAGAGCGUGAGGGUGAGAUGGAGAGAAUGAAUGGUGAUGAGCGUGAAAAAGAAAAAAAGGGCAAAAAUGGCGGGCGGGCUGAUUAUAAAGCCUGCCGCGUCGCCGGUUCCCUGAGACCCUAACUUGUGACGUCGCGUCCGAUAUCUCACAGGCUAGAUUCUCUGGUAUUGGCGAUGAGUGCUGCCUUUUGCCGAUCAAAAGUCAGUCCUAACAACAGAGAUACAAACGGCCAUGUGUGUUACAACUUACAACUUGCCUGUCACGCCGCAGUUGCGUAUUUUAUCGCGUAUUUUUUAUUUUCCUAUGUUAUUAUACGAUUAAGGAACAAACGAUUGCUUAUGUUACAUACUCGUUACAUGAUCCUUUAUCGAUGACUUGCAAAUAAACUUACUUUUCGUAUCCCGAUUUCUAUUAAAUCGAACACACCUUUUUUAGUAUCAUUUAUUUUAAUUAUAUAAACUUGGAAUAAAAAUUUGGGUGAGCCUUUUGUUUUGUUUUUUUGCCAAUGAAGUCAAGGAUACUCUUUGUCACUAACAAAAGAUGAAGUUAAAUUUCAUAUUCAAUUUGUGUAAUGUCAGAAUUGUAUAAAGAAUGUGAUAUCUGCUACGGCACAAUGUGUAUGUAUUAUAUAUUAGAAAAAACAAUAGAUUAAAAUAUAUAUAUCGUGAUCUUUCAAGAUAUAUUUUAUAAAAUAUUCACAUUUCUCUUGGAGACAAGUUUAAAGAUUUUGACAUAUAUUAUAUCUAUUUUUAUAUAUUCAUGUAUAUAUCAAAUUGUAUUUAGAUAUAUUCAAAAAUAUACCAAUAUAUCAGUGAGAAAUAUGUCUGUGAUAUAUUUAACAAUAUUUAUAUUAUUACAUGCAACCUCUUUACAUAAUCGAUUAUAAUAUCAUACCAUUGUGAUGGAUUUUCAAAAAAUUAUAGUUAUUAUACAAAGCUCUCGUGUAAACAUAUAAUCAACCAACAUAUAUACUUAUAUAUCAAAUACAUUUAUAUGUACACAAUUCUGAAUACAUAUAUAUUAUAAAAAAGAUAAUACCUAGUGUCUCUCUCUCUCUCUCUCUCUCUCUCUCUCUCUCUCUUUUUUCUUUACAAAUGGGGAGAACAUGAAAGAUUAUCAAAAUAUCUUUACAAUUUACAUGCUUACACAUAUACCAUCACUAUCUUUAAUGAUUACCGAAACAAGUAGACAAAAUCACAAUGUUCUUUAAUAUAUAUUGUUGUACUAUAGUUUAUAAAUAUAUGUCUAUAAGAAUAGAAAAAUGCUCUUCAAUUUACAUAUUGAUUUUUUUUUUUUUUUUUUUUUUU